rnacentral:miRNA from 1 species
AAUUGUGGUUUUUGCCAUGGAAAAUAAUGGUAAAAACUGCAAUUACUUUUAUAUCAAUCUAAUAUAUG